GAAAACAAAUGUUGGAACUAUUGCUUGAGCCUGAGAGGUCUAAGCUGAAGUAAGCUGUGGUUGCAUCAUUGCUCUCCAGUCUUGGCAAGGCUUUUUGUUGCCGGGGCGUCAGAAGUGGAUUGAAGGAUAAGCUUCUUUGGCAUUUUCCAUGUUUAUUAUCAUGCUAUCUACAAAUAAGGACAGUUUAUUUCUUUUUUUUUCUGUGUAUCUUAUAUUUCCUUUACUUGUCUUUUUGUGCUGUCUAGAUGUUCCUGUACUAUACUUAAUAAAAGUGAUAAAAACAG